GUUGUUGCAUGUGCAUUCCCAUCCAAUUCAAUAACGUAAGGAAGACUUGAAGGUUAAAAAAGUGCUAUCAUAGUUAACCUAGGGCAUUGAGAUUCAUAGUUUAUUGAAAGAAGCAAUUGGAAAUCAAUUUGAAUGCAAGUGUUUCAUGUGUGGAGAAGAUCCCCCUAGUUACCCCAUAUCUCAUCAAAUCACCUAAUUUUGUCUAAGAAUCUGUUUUCAUUGUUCUUGUCUUAAUUUAAUUAUUUUCGUCCAAAAUCAACCCCACCUUAUUUCUUUGAGUCAUAUUAACUAGAACUUGUCUUAGAAUAUGUUUUUAGGUGUUUUAGGUCAUUAGAAAACCAAAAUUCGUCCAAGUUGUGUUAGAGUCCCAAAACUACCAGAAAGUGGGUUUUAGGCUGUUUUGAGUCUUUUGGUUCGUUUUAGUGUUUUAGAGUUUAGUUUUGCAUUCUUUGAGUCUAGUUUCGUAUUUUAAACUUUGUUUACAGAUUUGAGUCAGUUUAGAAUGUUUUAGCAAUCCCUCAUAAUCCCCGGUUUAAGAACGAUCCCUACUUAUCCAUACUACAAUUGUCAACAAAAGGGUUAAUUUGUGUGUUUAGUUAUUUUACGCAUCAGAAUCCUAGAAAAGUUGGUUUGAGAACCAAGGGUAUCUCCUAAACAUAGAGGCACCCCACUCCAAAUCUACAAGAAUCUAACAGAUUUUGAAGAAGUAGAGGCAUGCAAACAUAUAAUGGUUGGUAAUAGGAGCCUCUGCCAAGAUUCAGGCUGGAGCUAUGUCUUCGGAGAACUCCAGAUUGGUAGCCCGCAACUCAAGGAAGUACCACUAGAGCUAGAGCUACACCAUCCAAGCAGCCUCGUUAAUGUUGGCCUCAAAAGGCUCAUUCUUGGUCAUUUCGUGGAGAAGGUGAUAGAGAUGCGCUAAGAUGAAUGGCCAUGUGGCAGCAUCAUCGAAUGAGUGCAGUGCCUCCACCAAGGGGAUCCAUUCCAGCUUCAUUCUCUUCGAUUUAUUGGGGAACACAUGCUUAUUCAACCAGAAAAGGAGGAAGUAUAUGUGUUCCUGAGCUCUGUUUGUAGUAAGGGAAUGUGGGCUGAACAUCUUCUUGGAGAAGGGAAUGAAGCCUGCGAAUGAUGUCCCGUAGCUUUUGAAGGUAGAGGAAUUGUAUUCCAGAUGAAUGAUUACAUUAGAGGCCUCCGAGCGUUCAGCGAUUGGUCAAGAAAGCGAUGACUAGUCAUGUGUGAUAUCCGCACAUCUAGCCGAAGGCCUCAGGUUGAAGACCUAAGCCAUGUCCAAGGUUGUGGGAGUCAUGGAACCCAUUCUGAAGUCGAAUGUGUUGGUCCCAUUUUUCCAGAAGAGCAAGGCAGUUGAUGGAAACUCGUGCUUGAUUAGGAUAGUGAUCUUCGACAUCAUGAUCAGCUCGUAGAUGCCAUUUGCCAUCCAUUUUUGCUUCCAAAUGGGUUCUAGCUCGUUCACCUAUUGAGACUAAGCUUCGUCCUUUAUAAGAGGGAAACCCCUCUUAAAAUUCGACCACUUGGAGGCAAAAAUCCUAGCCACAGCAGAGUAGGGGUGGGGGUAAACCAAUUGGCAACGGGCAUGUUUUUCUCCACUGCAACUGGGACUCGAGCAGUCUAGGUAGGCCCCAAAGAAUGUACCCCUUCCUUUUCAAAUAAGAUGGACAAGUUCAGGCCAGCCCGAGGGCAAUGAAGAUCGUUGAGCCGGCGGCGCAAAUUGAUGAUCCCCUUUCCAGAUUCGCAUGCAGGGCGUAGUUUGGGGGCCAUGGUUGAUUUCCAGAAAGUGAAGUGAGAAGUGAUUGAAACUAGGGCAAGAAAAAGCUGUGAAAGUAAGGGAUUCAAGGAUUCUGGAAAUUCAAAGAGAUGAGUUUAUGGGAAGUGAUGGCCAGGGAAAUUUAAAUAGAGGUUAUUUAACGGGCAAUUAGUUAACGUUGGAGAUCAUGGGUUAGUGCAAAGGUUUAUUCGAAAACAGUUGAGUAAAUGGCGCAAGUCCUGAGUUAAAGCAUGCAAUUAAUUUUAAUCAUUAUCAAUGUCUUGGUUAACAGACUUGAUAAUGAUUAAAGGGGGCACUGUUUGGGCUUAUAUUUGAUUAUGGGCUUUGUGACAAUAGAGGCCCAAAGAUGCAAAAGCAAAUAGAUGAUUGGGCUCGGCAAGUUGAUAGGCCCGAGAGGAAUUGGAAGUUAUUUUAGCAAAGGCAUAGGCCACAUGCCUAUGUUUGAAGUGAUGGGCGACAUAGAACAGCUCACCAUAAGCUAAAAAGCACUUUUUUGGGGUAUGGAUGAGUAAAUAGGUGAUGACUCAUUGCCCUCCGAAAGUUAUUAGUUAAAG
rnacentral:lncRNA from 1 species